AUUGAACGCUGGCGGAAUGCUUUACACAUGCAAGUCGAACGGCAGCACGGACUUCGGUCUGGUGGCGAGUGGCGAACGGGUGAGUAAUAUAUCGGAACGUGCCCAGUCGUGGGGGAUAACGUAGUGAAAAUUACGCUAAUACCGCAUACGAUCUAUGGAUGAAAGCGGGGGAUCGCAAGACCUCGCGCGAUUGGAGCGGCCGAUAUCAGAUUAGGUAGUUGGUGAGGUAAAGGCUCACCAAGCCAACGAUCUGUAGCUGGUCUGAGAGGACGACCAGCCACACUGGAACUGAGACACGGUCCAGACUCCUACGUGAGGCAGCAGUGGGGAAUUUUGGAAAAUGGACGCAAGUCUGAUCCAGCCAUUCCGCGUGCAGGACGAAGGCCUUCGGGUUGUAAACUGCUUUUGUACAGAACGAAAAGGUUUCUAUUAAUACUAGGGGCUCAUGACGGUACUGUAAGAAUAAGCACCGGCUAACUACGUGCCAGCCGCCGCCGUAA
rnacentral:rRNA from 1 species